rnacentral:lncRNA from 1 species
CGGGGUGCAACGUAGGAUCUCGGUUUGGGAACAUAGUAUUUCAUUUCUAUUUUCCAUUGCAUCGACUUGACGCAUGACUGCAUUUGAAAUCUUUUCAAAAUGAACAUUUGUAAAUCUAAUGACAUUUGUGAAACCAUCUAGGCUGGUCGUCAAUUUAUUAAGUUGAGCAUCAAUAACAUCGACCAUAGGUGUCUUCCUUUUGGAACCUUGUGAGGAUGAAGU